rnacentral:misc_RNA from 1 species
GAAAUGCGAUAAGUAAUGUGAAUUGCAGAAUUCAGUGAAUCAUCGAAUCUUUGAACGCAUCUUGCGCUCCUUGGUAUUCCUUGGAGCAUGCCUGUUUGAGUAUCAUGAAAUCUUCAAAGUAAAUCUUUUGUUAACUCAAUUGGUUUCUACUUUGGUAUUGGAGGUCUUUGCAGCUUCACACCUGCUCCUCUUUGUUCAUUAGCUGGAUCUCAGUGUUAUGCUUGGUUCCACUCGGCGUGAUAAGUUAUCUAUCGCUGAGGACACUGUAAAAGGUGGCCAAGGUAAAUGCAGAUGAACCGCUUCUAAUAGUCCAUUGACUUGGACAAUACUUUUAUGAUCUGAUCUCACAUCAGGUAGGACUACCCGCUGAACUUAAGC